UACAGAGGAGCCAAGCGUUGUCCGGAUUGACUGGGCGUAAAGCGCACGCAGGCGGCUGCGCGCGUGGGGUGUGAAAUCUGGCCGCUUAACGGCCAGGCGCCAUCCCAUACGGCGCGGCUUGAGCCUUGCAGAGGGCGGUGGAAUUGCCGGUGUAGUGGUGAAAUGCGUAGAGAUCGGCAGGAACACCCAGGGGGAAGCCAGCCGCCUGGGCAAGCGCUGACGCUGAGGUGCGAGAGCGUGGGGAGCGAACCGG
rnacentral:rRNA from 1 species